CUUCACCUGAUAAGAUGACCUGAUUCCUUCUGGGCCUGUCAGCAUCCUCAGAGGAUACUGACUCACUUGAUGACUGAAGUACUUGUGGUUUGGGAUCUGUUCUGAGCCAAUAAUCCUGGAACCAGGGAUGUUCUCUUUUCUUUACAAAAAGAAGCUUCCAGGCCAAGUUGCCAUUUGUUGCAACACCAAGAAGCGUGGAUAGCAAAGCUCUCAAGAUGUAACUCUGUAAAGCAGACAAAGUUAACAUCUCAUGAAGUUAUCCAGCCACCAGUGAGGUUUUCUGACAGGGAACAAUCAGGGGCUCAGCAGCCCUUAAAUACUCUCCUCUUCACACCCAGUCAGACCAAGGACUAGCUUUGCAAGUCAUCGCUUCACCCUGCUAGGGUAAGAGGGGAUUUACCAGCCACGGAUGCAAACCUCAUCUAAACAUGAAAGAGGUGCAAAGCCAAGGAGCCACUCUGGGAAACUUGUUUACAACAAACUAGCCUGCUCUCAGAUUCUUUCUCUGACGUAAAUUCCUGUUAUUUCUCUUGCACUACAUUUACACACUCGCCAUUAUUCUUGUUUUGUUCCUGGGAAGAGAUACAUUAAAGGGCUGAACAUCUCAUG